rnacentral:pre_miRNA from 1 species
UAUUAAGAAUUUCAUCCAUUAUUACUGUUAAAAAUUGACAUGGUUGACAAAAUAAUCAAAUAAUAACUUGUGGCAUGCCACAUGUACCUCUUAUUGACAUACAGAGACCAACUUUAAUAGUAGAAAUAAAUGAAAUUUUUAAUA